rnacentral:rRNA from 1 species
GCUUAGAAGCAGCCACUCAUUUAAAGAGUGCGUAAUAGCUCACUGGUCGAGUGAUUCUGCGCCGAAAAUUUCCGGGGCUAAAACUUACUACCGAAGCUACGGCAUCAUUAUGAUGGGUAGGGGAGCUUUCUAUGCGGCUUGAAGCAUGACCGUAAGGACAUGUGGACUGCAUAGAAGUGAGAAUGUUGGCAUGAGUAGCGAGAUGUGGGUGAGAAUCCCACAGGCCGUAAACCCAAGGUUUCCAGGGGAAGGUUCGUCCGCCCUGGGUUAGUCAGGACCUAAGCCGAGGCCGAAAGGCGUAGGUGAUGGACAACAGGUUGAUAUUCCUGUACCACCAAUAACCGUUUGAGAAAUGGGAUGACACAGUAGGAUAAGCUAACCGCACUGUUGGUUAUGUGCGGGCAAGUAUUGAGGCAGUUCCGAUAGGCAAAUCCGUCGGAAUAAUGCUGGGGUACGAUGCGGAGCGAAAUUAAGUAGCGAAGUAGCUGAUUUCACACUGUCGAGAAAAGUCUCUAUCGAGGUUAAAGGUGCCUGUACCGCAAACCGACACAGGUGGGUGAGGAGAGUAUCCUAAGGCCAGCGAGAGAACUGUUGUUAAGGAACUCGGCAAAAUGACCCCGUAACUUAGGGAGAAGGGGUGCCUUCGAAAGAAGGCCGCAGAGAAUAGGCCCAAGCGACUGUUUACCAAAAACAUAGGUUUCUGCUAAGUCGCAAGACGAUGUAUAGGAGCUGACGCCUGCCCGGUGCUGGAAGGUUAAGGGGAUCUGUUAGAGCAAUCGAAGCAGUGAACUUAAGCCCCAGUAAACGGCGGCCGUAACUAUAACGGUCCUAAGGUAGCGAAAUUCCUUGUCGGGUAAGUUCCGACCCGCACGAAAGGCGUAACGAUUUGGGCACUGUCUCAACAACAGACUCGGUGAAAUUGUAAUACCGGUGAAGAUGCCGGUUACCUGCGACAGGACGGAAAGACCCCAUGGAGCUUUACUGUAGCUUGACAUUGAGUCUCGGUGCUACAUGUACAGGAUAGGUGGGAGACUAUGAAGCAUGGACGUCAGUCUGUGUGGAGUCAUCCUUGGGAUACCACCCUUGUAGUACUGGGAUUCUAACCAGAGGCCAUGAAUCUGGUCUUGGGACACUGUCAGGUGGACAGUUUGACUGGGGCGGUCGCCUCCCAAAAAGUAACGGAGGCGCUCAAAGGUUCUCUCAGUACGGUCGGAAAUCGUACGAAGAGUGUAAAGGCAAAAGAGAGCUUGAUUGCAAGACAUACAGGUCGAGCAAGGACGAAAGUCGGACUUAGUGAUCCGGUGGUUCCGCAUGGAAGGGCCAUCGCUCAACGGAUAAAAGCUACCCUGGGGAUAACAGGCUGAUCUCCCCCAAGAGUCCACAUCGACGGGGAGGUUUGGCAC